rnacentral:rRNA from 1 species
CCGGCGACCGGCGCACGGGUGAGUAACACGUAUGCAACCUGGCCGUCACAGGUGGAUAACCGGAAGAAAUUCCGACUAAUACAGCAUAACACUCCUGAGGGACAUCCUUCGGGAGUCAAAGGAGGCAACUCCGGUGACGGAUGGGCAUGCGGCGCAUUAGGUAGUUGGUAGGGUAACGGCCUACCAAGCCGACGAUGCGUAGGGGUUCUGAGAGGAAGGUCCCCCACAUUGGAACUGAGACACGGUCCAAACUCCUACGGAAGGCAGCAG